rnacentral:lncRNA from 1 species
AUAAAUAUCUGCAUGUGUGUAUACGUGUGUGUGUGUGUGAGUACACACACAUGUACAAUCGUAGGUACAUAUGUGUAUUAUACAUAAAUUCAAUCAUAUACUAAUGAAUGAACUAGUAAAAAAUUUACGUUGAAAAUAUGUCUUUUGACAUGAUCUUUAUUUAUUCUUAUUCACUGACUUAUUUUAUUCCUACCAUUUUCCUAUUGAUUACCUUUAUACUUACAUAUUUUCUCCACCCAUUCAAUCUUUCUUUUUAUGUAAUAUUUAACUUAAGGUAGAAAUUCUUUCCCCAAAAAUGUCUCUAUAGUAAUUUUUGUAUCAGAGAUUUGUUUUAGACCUUUGAUACAAAAAUUUUAGUUUUGUCUUCUAGACAUGAGACUCACUUCGGCUGUAAUCACAUUUGACUGCUUUCUUCUAAUUUGUUUUCCUUAUCUAUUUCCUACACACACAUUGACAGAUGGUUACUCUGUAAAUAUUGCUUUUGUUUUUUGACUUACUUUAUUGCUCUUUAAUUGAUAUUUCUGAUUUUGGCAUCUUGCCAUCUAGCUUACACACAAUCCAUAUUACCUUCACCAUUAUUAGUAUUUCUUUUAAAGGUAGCAAGUUGGUUAUUGGAUCAACUAUACCUGUUUCUUACAGAAAAUUAUCUUGUGUCUAAACACAAUUAAUCAUCAUUGUUAUUUUAUUAAGGGUAGCAAGUUAGCAGAACUGAUAUAGUGCUUGACUAAAUACCCUUUAGUAUUUAAUUUUACUUCUCUACAGUCUGAGUUCAAAUUCCACCAGGGGCAACUUUGCCUUUCGUCUCUUGAGAGCUGAUUAAUUAAGUACCAGGCAUGUUCUGGGGUUGAUUAAAUUGACUGUUUACUUCUUGCAAAAAUGUGUGGCUCCCCAAACUUAGAGACACGCAUGCACACACACACACAUACAUACAGACAUAAUAUUAAAAUUAACUAGACUGUUUAUUUCAUAUUGCUCAGUGUUAAAAACUAAAUAAAAUGUAAUCAUUAAAAAAUUGAAAGAAACAAAAAAAAAACAAAACAAAACAAAAA